GAUUCACUUUUUUCUCUUUUUAAUUUUCUUCUCUGUGUUUGAUUUUGAGUGUUGUUUUCUUCUCACUUUUUAUAUGAUUUCUCUCUGUAUCUUUUUUAGUCUGAUUUUUUCUCUUCAUAUUUUUUCUGUCUCUGUUUGAUUUGUCUGAUACAGUGUAUGUAGAUGGAAAAUGUACGUAGGAUGGGGAUUUGGAGAGUUAUAUGU
rnacentral:lncRNA from 1 species